rnacentral:rRNA from 1 species
CCUACGGGUGGCAGCAGUGGGGGAUAUUGCACAAUGGGGGAAACCCUGAUGCAGCGACGCCGCGUGGGUGAAGACGCGCCUCGGCGCGUACAGCCCUGUCAGCAGGGAAGAAAAUGACGGUACCUGAAGAAGAAGCCCCGGCUAACUACGUGCCAGCAGCCGCGGUAAUACGUAGGGGGCAAGCGUUAUCCGGAUGUACUGGGUGGAAAGGUGGCGCAGACGGCGAUGCAAGCCAGGAGUGAAAGCCCGGGGCCCAACACCGGGACUGCUCUUGGAACUGCGUGGCUAGAGUGCAGGAGGGGCAGGCGGAAGUCCUGGUGUAGCGGUGAAAUGCGUAGAUAUCAGGAGGAACACCGGUGGCGAAGGCGGCCUGCUGGACUGCAACUGACGUUGAGGCCCGAAAGCGUGGGGAGCAAACAGGAUUAGAUACCCGGGUAGUC